rnacentral:rRNA from 1 species
AGAGUUUGAUCCUGGCUCAGAAUGAACGCUGGCGGCGUGCUUAACACAUGCAAGUCGUACGAGAACUCUUUAGCUUGCUAAAGAUAGUAGAGUGGCGUACGGGUGAGUAACGCGUGGGUAAUCUACCUCCGAAUCGGGGAUAACCCGCCGAAAGGCGAGCUAAUACCGGAUAAUACCUUUAAAACUUCGGUUUUUAAGAUCAAAGGUGGUCUCUACAUGUAAGCUACUGUUUGGAGAUGAGCCCGCGUACCAUUAGCUUGUUGGUAGGGUAAUGGCCUACCAAGGCUUCGAUGGUUAGCUGGUCUGAGAGGAUGAUCAGCCACACUGGAACUGACACACGGUCCAGACUCCUACGGGAGGCAGCAGUGAGGAAUUUUGCGCAAUGGGGGAAACCCUGACGCAGCAACGCCGCGUGAGUGAUGAAUGCUUUCGGGUCGUAAAGCUCUGUCAAGUGGGAAGAACAUGCUUGAUGCUAAUACCAUCUUGCACUGACGGUACCACUGAAGGAAGCACCGGCUAACUCCGUGCCAGCAGCCGCGGUAAUACGGGGGGUGCAAGCGUUAUUCGGAAUUAUUGGGCGUAAAGGGCGCGUAGGCGGUCUCUUAAGUCAGAUGUGAAAGCCCGGGGCUCAACCCCGGAAGUGCAUUUGAAACUAAGGGACUUGAGUAUGGGAGAGGGAAGUGGAAUUCCUGGUGUAGAGGUGAAAUUCGUAGAUAUCAGGAGGAACACCGGUGGCGAAGGCGACUUCCUGGACCAAUACUGACGCUAAUGCGCGAAGGCGUGGGGAGCAAACAGGAUUAGAUACCCUGGUAGUCCACGCAGUAAACGGUGAACACUAGGUGUAGCGGGUAUUGACCCCUGCUGUGCCGUAGCUAACGCAUUAAGUGUUCCGCCUGGGGAGUACGGUCGCAAGAUUAAAACUCAAAGGAAUUGACGGGGGCCCGCACAAGCGGUGGAGCAUGUGGUUUAAUUCGACGCAACGCGAAGAACCUUACCUGGAUUUGACAUCCCGAGAAGUCUUUCGAAAGAUAGAUGUGCCCUUCGGGGAACUCGGUGACAAGUGCUGCAUGGCUGUCGUCAGUUCGUGUCGUGAGAUGUUGGGUUAAGUCCCGCAACGAGCGCAACCCCUAUCUUUAGUUACCAUCAAUUCGGUUGGGGACUCUAAAGAUACUGCCCCGGUUAACGGGGAGGAAGGUGGGGAUGACGUCAAGUCCUCAUGGCC